rnacentral:misc_RNA from 1 species
AAGCACAAAUUCCAAUAAUGAUGGAUGCCAAAGAAGCAGCAAUAUCUGUAAAAGAUUACUAUGCAGCACUUAAAAAUGCCUUAAAACCUUAUAAAUUCGAUCGACAACCACCAACGCCACAACUUUUGAUAAAAGCCCAAACAACAGCCAAUGAUCUUCGCUCUGUUUUACCUCGUGACCGGAAGGGCAGAGCACUACCUUAUCCAAGAUAUCGACCAAAAGAAGAAAUCUACAGGAAAAAUGAUUUCGGAAAGACGGAUUCCCACGCCAAAAAUGCACCAAAGAACUUGUUGACGACUGAACUAGAAGAACUUGUCCAAUAUUUAAUUUCGCCAUUUGCUAAUGAUGAAGUUGCCAAAGUCCGAGUUAUUUUCCGUUGGAUUACCGAACAAGAUUUGGAGUCGUAUCAGAUUCAAGGCAAUACACCGAUUAAUAGUCCGGCCCGUUACUUAAAUGAGCUAAAAGAAAGUAAAGGCCGCUACGAUAUAUUCUUCAACGACAUGUGUCGGCUUGCCGAUAUAUCCUCAGUUUCAAUACAAGGCCAUUCGAAAGGAGUUGGGUUUAAUGUUGGUGACCCUCUUACCCCAAGCACGAGAAACAUCUGGAACGCAGUUCUUAUAAAAGACACAUGGUACCUGAUUGAUGUUCACUGGGCAUCGCGCAAGAUAUCUGGAGUGGAAUCUGAAGAAUGGCAAUUGGUUGAAUGCCAACAAGCAAACAGCAGCGAUAUAGACGACUCCAUCGUCCAGAAUAUUUAUGAGUUUGACGAGUUUUAUUUCUUGACUGAUCCAGAAAAAUUUAUAUAUAGUCACUUUCCCGACGAAGAAAUUUGGCAGCUACUAGCACGACCUUUAACGAAAAAUGAAUUUCAGAAAGCUCUUUAUCUAAAGCCUCAUUUCUUUGAGUUUGGUCUCACAGUCAAAAGCCACGUUUGGUGCAGUCUUCAAUCUGUAGAUGGUCUUGUCAACAUUGAACUUGGUGUUACACGUACUGACUUGUCAUUCUCUUUUGAACUCUACAGAUCAAACAAAAUUGGCAACCCCGACGACAAAAAAGAACUUGCAAAAUACAUGUUACUUGAAAGGGACAUUGAAAAUAAAAAAUUAUGUAUCGAAGUAAGAUUUCCUAUUAUUGGAAAGUUCAAAGCUGAAAUCUUUGGACGAGAUUCUAGGAGCAAACUGGAAUGGCUGUGUUCAUACGUUCUCUAUUGCAACUCUCCUCUGUCGGAUUGUUCUCCACUACCACCGAACCCCAAAGCUGAGUGGGGUCCUGGAAUGCAUUUGUUUAAUUAUGGCAUUACACCCAUAACUCAUUUGAGAGGUAAAAUUGAUGUCUACGAUGGAGAAGUGGAGCUAAAGUUUGCUUUGGAGAAAAACGUGGAUCUUUUACAUAGACUAGUAGCUGAAGACGAAGAGGAGAUUCCUGAUCAUAUUCUCUGUGAAAUAGUAAAUGGAGUUGCUACGGUGCUUGUAAGACUCCCUAAAAAAGGUCAGUAUGCACUGCAAAUGUAUGCCAAGAACGACCCAAAUGACAACGAAUUCUCCAAUAUUUGCAAUUACAUGUUGAGAUGCAACGAGGGCCUGGGUGUUGUAUACCCUUACCCAUCGGUGACAAACGACAAAGUUGGAUCAAUGGGAAAGUUCCAUUCGUUAGGUCUCCACUUUGUCGAAGAUGCCCCUGGAUAUCAAAGAAUCUCCACUACUGGCCAGUGUUCUUUUCAAAUUAAAAUCCCAGCCAAUAUUGAUUACUUCAGUAAGCUUAUUCACCAAUCAGAGAACACUUUGAAUGACGUUUCUGAUUAUACAUACUGUUAUCGAGAUGGAGAUAUCGUAAGCUUUGCCAUAAGAUGUUCGUUGCCUGGAUUUUACCGCUUUGAUCUAUUCGCCAAACUUAACACAGAGGACGGUGGCUACCCAAAAGUAUUCUGUUCAGUUCUUGAAACUUUUUGGCCAAUGGCUGAAUGUUUACCAUACCCACAGAAAUACUCAGCUUGUAAGGAUACAUACAAUAUCCUUUCACCAUCUGUGAAUCAACUAGCAGAAGGUCAGAAUAUAAAAAUGGCCAUCGUCGUUCCAAAUGCUGAAUCUGUUGCUACAAUCGAAGACCAAAGCUGGACAUACUUAGAGAAAGGUGAAAAAGACAAAUGGACUGGAACCAUUGUUCCAAAAGCUUCUGGGAAUAUCAUUUCCAUAGCUGCCCGACAGUCCAGUGCUGUACGCUCCUUUGAGGCAUUAGUCUCCUUUGAGGUUGUUCCAGCUCAUGUUUUGAGAGAGGAGUUCCGCAAGCAAAGAGCGUCUCGUGAGAAUGCUGAACAGGAGUAUUUAGAGCAUAUCUCUCGCAAAAAACACCUGCAAAGCAUGCGCAAAGAUCGGUCAAUGAUUCAUAUGAUUCAACGAAUGGCAAAGAUGAAAUUACAGAAUUUAAAUGAGGAUCACUUGAAGCUGAUGGAUCAGCAGUUGGAUAAUGAUGCUAUUCUGCAACUGGACCAAUGCUUGCCUGAAGUCCCACAACAUUUAACGCAAAAUGGUACUGAAAACACUGUUGAGAGAGAUGUAGCAUAUGGUGAUGUGUUAGAGAAUCACAAUUAUGAAAGAAAUGGAAAUGAUGCCCUUGUUGAUUUUCUCAGUGAAGUCAAUGACAGGCAGUUAAAUAAAGCAAUACUUGACAAUGGACCUGUCAAUGGAAAUGAAAAUGACGAUUAUAAUCUAGGCAUGUCACCGUUAAAAAUGAGACCAUCCAUCAAAAAGCGAACACUUCCCAAAAUUGACAUAAAUUUAAAUGAGCUUGAUGGUGUUAAUGAUAGUGAUGAUGACAGUGAUGAAGACUAUGAGAACAAUGCCGGCAAUCACUCGGAGUAUAAUCUUGAUUUUGAUAAACAUGGUGUCAGACUGACGCCUAUUUCAGAAAAAGAAGAAGAAAUUGAUGAUUUCUUUAAAAGCACUCUAACUCAGAACCAGAAUGGUCCUGAGUCUGAUGAAUCUGAAGAAAGUGUUGACAAUGUGAGAGAGGCAGUAGAAGAGAUAAUAGGAGCAGAGACUGUUGAACGGGUAAACGCCUAUCCAUCUUUGGAUGACAGCGAAGACAGUUUAGUCGAAAGACUAUCAGAACUACGAGGGAAAGAAGUAAACCCAAAAGUUCCCUUGAGAGUGAAAAGAAACCUGGAAGAAAAAGUAAAAGAGGAGGAGAUUAUUGUAAGAGAAGAGCCAAAGAAACAAGAGGAUCUUACAGAGAAACUGCUCCAACAAGUAGCUUCUAUUGAAAGAACAAUUGAAGAAGAUGAGAUGGCAAUUCAAAAUUUCCACCUUGGAGCAGCAUCAGCCCCAAAAGACGAUCAAUCCUUUCUCCGGCAUCGAACAACAGCAACAUUGUCAAAUUAUUCCACACCAAAUUUACCAGACAAAGAGAAGUCUCACACAGCACCAGUAUCAGUGCAAACUCAAACAGACAAUGAAGAAGUCUCACUCACAGUGGUUUUGGAGAACUUCAUUUAUGUUUUUGCGAUUUUUAGUCUCUUAUGGAAACUUGCAGGACUAUUAAGUUUUGAACAUACAAGCAGCUAGAAGUCAAGACUUAUACACGUUUUCUAAGUAUGCACAUGAAGACCUUUAGAAAGUCGGAAUUCAGGAUCUAAUUUGAAUGGUCUGUUGAUAGAUAUCUGCAGAAGAUAAGGAAAUAGUAACAAACUACUUGGCUGACCAAAAGAUUGAGAUUCAAAUGAUUUACUAAUUACGUCUGGAACUACGGAGAGUUAUAAGAAGCUAAUCUAAUGCUGAGAAACGAAUUUAGAUUGAUAUCUCAAGUGAAAAGGAUCACACAAAGCAACCAAAAAUGAAAUAAACAGUUUUAACAGAAAACUAGAUCGGAGUCUCCUGCUGGUAUGUGCACCAUCAGCUGCAAUCAACGUAUCAGCUCAUUCUAAUUAAUUUAAGUGGUAAGUCAAAUUUCAUGGAAGUUCAAAUUAUGAUUACGCCCACAAUUUAGUCUUCCUUUUUGUGAGCUGUUUGUUGCAAAUGAUAUUUCUAUCACUAAUGUCACCAGAAAAAGCAGCUUAAUAUAUGCAUACAUUUUGAUCGGGUAAACGAAUAGGAUUCACUUCAAUUCAAUAGAUUCCAUCAUGUCUGCAAAGCUUCUAGACGCUUGCAGAAAGGCUUUUCUGGUGUUGUUAAAACGCAGAUGUCUUAUGGUGCAUGUGAUGCAUUCAAUAGGAGUUUACUUUGCUUGGAAGAC